UCGCCGCGCGUUUCUACAAUUUUCUAUUUUUUCAAUUUCUCCUUCUUCGAUCGGAGGAUCGCUAUUUUUCCUCAAUACACACGCACGCACACGCACGCAUCUUUUACUGGGUAAAGAUGGCGGCUCUCGAGCUUGUGGUGUGGGGCAACUGUGACGCAAUUGUAAUCACGUGACCGGGCCGUGGCUAGCGGUCUCUCUAGUCAGACUAGUGUAUGAUCUAGCAUUUUACUGGUCGCACGCAACAGCCAGCGUCGUCGUGAUCGAGCCGUAUGCGAAACGAUCAACCGACACAAUCGCGAUGAAAAAAUAGUAGUAAGAAGAAGAAAGGAGAAGAAUUUCGAUUCGAGGAAUUAUUGAAAUAUCAUUGAUAUGAAAAAAUUAUCGUUCUCGACUUACACCUGCAGCUGCAAUAUAUCUCGUCGCUGGGUCAGUGGGGGUGAGAAACUGGCUUGGCUCCGCAUUCAGCAGUCAGUCUUUUUCUCUCUCCUAUCGACACAUUGACAAUUCUUCCCACGAUAUAUAUAUAUAUAUUAUCGGGCGCGUCCUCCUCCUGCACAUUGAAUCAAUUGAAUGACAAAAGAUUGAAACGAAGAAUGAACAUUUAAACGAAAGAACAUGUUUUUUUUUUUUCAUCGUUAUAUACACGUCGAAUAAUUAUGGUGCGCAAAAAUCGGAGACGAAAAAUGGAGUUUUUUUUAGAACCUGCAGCUGUGACUUUUUUCGGGGCCAGACUCAGCAGUGAAAACUGUGUUCCCUUAGCUGUCAGAUUUAAAAAAGGGCUCUGGGAUCAUGGAAUUACACUGCAGUGGGUUAUGGCCAACUUCAGACACAAAAAAAAAAAAAAGAGAAAAUAAAAUUCAAGAAUACAAAAAUAUAGACGUGGAUAAAAAUUUCUUAGAUAAUUUUUUUUUUUCGCAAAAUUUAAUCCAAUAUGUAGGAUUUAAGGUAUACAAUUACAUAUGUUGCACGAAUAUAUUAAUCAAAAUUCACGAACAUAUUCGGGUGAAUUUUUUUUUUUUCAAAAUGCAAUAUACACACAUGUUAUCCAGCGAUAAUAGAAAUAAUUAUUUUACAUGAUAUAUUAUUUUUUAUUGGCACAUCGAAAAAUCUCGACGUUCGUAACGUACGGAGAUAAAAGAAAAAAACAAAAAAAAAUAUCGACGUUCUCUCGCUCGCCGCGGCUUAUAUUCGAUGCUACGUACAAAUCUAUGUACCGUGAGCUAUAUAACCUCUCCAGUAUACUUUCUAAUACCGAACGCUCCAUGCAACACACCGCUUACUUUCGUAACAAAACUCGCCGCGUUGUUCAAGUUGUAUAUUACAUAUACAUUAUCUCCACCGUUUGAGAGUAAAAGUAAUAUUUUAUAUUACGUUAUAUACGCCCGCGUUAAUAUACGAUUAUCAUCGUCGCGGAUACUUAUGUAUUAUUACAGAGAGACACACAAGGUAACGUAUAGUCACGACGUUCCAUCGGAAUUGUACACCCGACGUGUACAUUACUGGCGAAUAGGAAAAUUUAUUAAUGAAAAUGAGGGAAAAAAAGGCGUUCCAAAAAUUAUAUCAUUAUCGUAUAGGUAUACUAUACUGCAGCGUAUAUACAUACGUACGCAUAUGUGAUAUACGUUGUAUAGAAAUUAUUGCAUAGAAUAUAAUACGCCCAUUAGCCAUCGACUUAUGUGCCCGACGUGCGGCGGUCGUAUAACUCGUUAUUACCACAUCCGCACGCGGUGUAUACCGUAGAACAAACCAGAGAACGAAUAUCAUAUAUACUCGUGUAUCACAUACCUACUUACGAACGCAUAUGUACUCGAAAAGGAAUUGAACAAAAAAAAAAAAAUCGCGGUACACGCGAUGCGCGGAUACCUCGUGCAUCUCCAUGUACCGCGCGCGCGCUAAAAAUUUGCAACGAACGCUCAAUCUAAUUGUUUUUAUCUUUAUCUGCAUUUUACACACGCGCAGGACAAUAUAACGUUACAAUAUAUAAUGCGAUCUCACAGCUCGUCGGGCGGAGUUGGCGAAACUUCGAGCAGCUCGAGAGUCCGCGUCGCUCCCUGCCUCCGUUCCCCCCCCGAGUCGGUGGAUGGAAUAUUUUUUGGCGAACGUGUGCGUGCACCGAACCGCCAUUUUCUCGGGGGGGCUCGAGCGACGCGCGGCCAUCUUUGCCACGCGGCACGUACGAAAUCGAAUAUUUCCAGCAGCCGACCUCAGCAGCGCGCACACGCAUAUAUUCGUGCACGGCGACGACGACGACGACACGACCGACGCGAACCGCGUAACGCACUCGAGGUCAAAACUGAAUUAAUCCGCACACGCGUUUCUGAAAUUUUACACUCCGUUCGCGUAUGCUCGAUCGUUGUUACGCGUCAGCCGAAACGCGCCGCUCUUCUCCCCGCGUACCGCGGGAUUUCGUUGAAAUUUUGCAUUCUUUUUUCAAAAAAUUUUGAUUAUCCGUUCCUUUUUGUGUUUUCUCUCCAGAGUUUCACGCGCGGUAUCCGCAUCUGUAUAGGUGAGGUUACGUGCUCGAGUAAUUGUGUGGUCGUGUACCCCACCCACACCGACUUAUGAUUUUUUAUGCGACGAAGCCUUAUCAGGCAACACGGGGAAGUAGCGGCCGCGCAGAGUCAGCGCGGCAGCUGAUAUCCUAACCGGAGUUCUCGCGUAUCUCGGGUACGAAACCGCGCUCGUUUUAUUUCUCAUUCUCAUUCUUCGUUAUACCUUCCUCUAUUUUCUUCAUUUCCGUCUAAUCGAAUUCUCUAGUUUCCUAUUCAUAGAAAACUUGGAUUAUCUGCGAUACGUUGCAACACAUUCGCAUGAAUGUACGUAAAAAUCGAGCUCACGUAUCUCGUGUAUAAUAUACACGACUCCGGGCGGUGCACGUAACACACAUAUGUAGUUGUCCGCAGAGCGAACCGCGCGGGAGCGCGAGUGACCGGUAUAUACAUACGUUUUUACUCCGCGCUACUCGUUUCCACAAACUGGCGGAGGAACGAGGGCGAAGGGGGAGGGAAGCUGCAGAGAUAAAAACCAGCUAUAUACGGCCUUAAUUAAUUUCCCGGUGCACAACGUUGUAAAUAUACGUGUAGGUAUACACGUCCGACGUGUACGUACGUACGUACGUACAUACAUAUGCAGCAGUCGUAUUAUCUCCACCGCAGCGACGCUACCGGGCAAUAUGUAUACACACCUCAUAUACCUAUAUAUGCGGGGCAUAUGUCCCUAUAUCCCGCCCUAAAUUUCGCGAUUGUUAUUAUCAUUAUUAUUUGCAUGACGUACUCAAAAUUUUCUACAAUGUAUUACAUAGAGAAAGGCAAAUGCGAGCUGCGCUCUGCAUCAUAUGGUCACACUCAUAUACAUACACAUGUACGAAUAAAUUAUAUACCGCAUUUUUAUUCACGUAUAUUUCCCAUAUUUAAUCGCGAUCUAGGACGUUAUUAUUUUUUUUUUUCGGCUCUCGCCGCUGUGCUAUGUGUAUAUAUUUUCAGCUGUUACAUUGCAUCGGGAACUUAUAAACGAUAACGUGCAACUUUGUUGUAUUACACAUGGGUACAUAUUGCACAUACUUAAAUACCAGUAUACCUGCGGAUAUAUAUGAUCGCGUGAUUGUAUAACGACUGUAAUCUAUAAUUUCUGCGCGAACGAAUAUUAUUAUAUCGCGCGAUCGUUGGGAACGUAAGCGCACGGCGCGGCGUGGCGGACAUUUUGAAUCGGGGCCUCGAUCCGCCUCGCGGCUAAAUAGCUACGAGACCUCCUGAUCAUCGUUAUACGAUCAUUUACGAUCCAACCGAUAUACCUGUACACAACCCUGUACCUAAAACCCACACCUACGCACACGUUCACAAUGUGUACGUUCGAAUCGUAUAUACCUACGAUUACUUACAGAUAUGUAUAUCAGCCGCAUUAUACGUAUGUCGAGUAAAGAGAUUUAACGUUAUUUGACAGCUCGUAGAUUAAAUCGGGUUUCGGAUCGCGGAAAGAAGGAAGAACGGCGUACAAGGUAUGUAUAUGUGAAAAAGUAGCGAAGAAGAAGGAGAAAAGGUAAAAGAAAAAUUUUUAUACGUAAAAAGGAAACUAUAAACCACGGUACCGCGAGACCGGCUCUUUUUUUACCCCGGUGAACUUCGCGGGGCGGUGCGUUGAGAG